GUGAGGGAAAGUCUGUUAGAAGUUUGCUAUAAUAUAGGUUGAGAAUAGCCACAUAAGCAAGCAAAUUGAGAGUAAAAGAGAGUCUAGGUAUUGGUGUUCAACUUGCAUUUCUUUGUAAUUCCUUUUGAAUUCAAUAAAAUUCUCUAUUUUGCUCUUCUUCUAAUUGGGAACUUAACAAUUGGUACCAGAGCAACCGAUUCUGAUGGCCCAAAGGAAGAUAGAAAUCAAAGUAGAAGCAAUGGAGGAGAAGAAGCUGAAGGAAUUGAAAAUAGAACUUCAAUGCUUACCUAGAGUAGAAAGAGUAGUGGAGCACUUAAUCCAGAGUAUGGCCAAGAUGACACAAUCACCAGAGGCAAUUCAAAAAGAUGUGGCGUCACUUAUUAAUCCAAAGGUAGCCACAAAUCGGGUACUCAAAGGAGAUAGAUCCAGAAACGUUAUGGAAGGGAAGCUACUUCUGAGCAUCAACUAGGAACCCUUGGUGGAUCAACGAGCACAAGACAAAGGAAAAUGGCUAGAAGAAAUAGGAGAGACCAAUACUGGAGGAAUUACAGUCACCUCUAUCGGAAUAGAGGUGGUGAUGAUUGCCGACGUGUUUGGAAACACGAGAUGCUGAAACUCUUAGUUUCCCAACUGUAGGCUUCUGAACAAGGAUUGCUAAUCAAGUCGGAGAAGAUGAUGGCGUUGACUAACAAAAGGGGGGAGAAAAGAUGUUAGUGGGCUGAUAAUGAUGCCUAAAUUUCAUAUGGGAAAACCUGUGGGCUUGGCCUUGGAGAGGAUCCAAUCAAUAGAAGGCAAAGGUCUAGUAAUUAG
rnacentral:lncRNA from 1 species